rnacentral:misc_RNA from 1 species
UGUAAAUUUUGUCAGUAUAUAUUAAUAUGUUUUACACAUCUAAGCUCCUGAAAUUUCUGGUAUCAUUCGGUGCUAGGACGGAGAUGUCCAUUACAAUUGUAGCCAAUGUGUCACAUAGUGUUUUUUUUUAAAUUUUGAUUUUUACACAAGAAAUCUUGUAUGUUUUAAUAAACAUUAUAUUCAAAGGGGAAUAACUCAAAAUGUGUAUUUUUCAGUCAGGAUGAAAAAACAGUUAUUCCCCUUAGAUAAUUUUCAUAAGAUGAAGUUUUACUUAAAAAUGAGAAAUGAAUUUGAUGGUGUUUAUCAGUGACAGUUUUAUUGGUAGGAUUGAUCAUUUGAAAAGAAGUGAUCUAAUAAGCUUUUGAUAAGAAUUUGAUGAGUUUUCGAUGGGUGUUUUUUUAUACAAUGUUAUGUAGUUUUAAUUUAAAUAUAUUAAUAGUUGAUGUUAGUUUUUAAUUCAUUAAGUUUGAGCUGUGCCUGUGUAACAAUUGGUGCAUCAUAUAUUGCUUGUUAUGCUUAAAAGGUAGGUCACAAUGACCCAAUUAGAAUCAUGGUAGUUUAUAGUGAAACUAUUUUAGAACAUAUCUAUUUAUUUGAAAAAAUAAACUAACUUGUGUUUUAGAAAUGAUGUACCAUUAAUUAUACCAGAAGUCAUAUACUCAUGUAUAUAUCAAUUUGAAAGUAGGUCAUGAUGACCUCAAUUUGUAUUUAGCAUGUUGUUAAUCCUAUGUGUUUGUUAAUGGUGUUUAAGCACAUUUCUCACACCCUGUAUCUCUGUUGACCAGAUAGAUAGGACAACUCAAGUUAAUGUCAUAUAUUUGGAGAAAUAUUGUACGCAAGUUUAAGCGAGAUGAUUUUUUGGUGUUUUGGAAAUGUAGCGAGCUGUAGAUAAAAGUCAAUAAACUUGAAGUUACAUAUC